rnacentral:lncRNA from 1 species
GCUGAUUUGUGACUGGUCGAAGGGUGAGCAUCACAUACCUGUGCGCAUACGCAUAGGUAACAUACUAUCUUGGCCGCGAAAGAGCAAGUUCACAUGUGAUAAACUAUGUUCGUGGUUUCUGUGUUUAUUUUCUACCAUAAGUUCUCAGGGCACCGUUUUGCAUUUACAGUACGCAGACAAAAGAACAAGAGUAAGCAUUUACAGUAUACAGACAAAAGAACAAGAGCAUUUACAGUACGCAGGGAUUUAGGGUUAACUCGGAUCCAAGGCCAUUGAAGGGCUUUGGCUCUGUUCCUUCCUCGCGAGAAUUGUUCUUGCCAUGAACUGUGGCUGUUUGUUAUCUUGGUCGAAAAGCUGAACAUGUCGUACCUUGUCAUUGUAGUAUUGGUCAUCUUUUGCACUUGCUCCAUAAAACAUUUAUCUUGUACAGUACCCAUAGCCCAAUUCUAAUUUGCGCCGUCUGUUUGUAGUGAUUGCGAGGAGAGAGAUGUGCUGCACUUAUGUCAGUAAUCAUGGUAUGCUCGUAUCUGUUAAUUAGAAGCAUAUUUUAUCAGUACUAUUAUUAUUUAGCAAGUUCUUGUUCUUUCCAUAGGUUUGCUGAACAUUCCAAUGCCCGCCUUGAGCAUGCAAAAAUGCUUUUGAAUGCCUCUUAGUCACAAAUCAAGUCACACACCACAUCUCCUUUUUUUGGUAAUUGAAAAUAACUUAUUCUCAAUGUUCUUUUGUCAUUCUCAAAUUUUCAGCAAAGAGGGAAAAGUGGUGCUAUUGAUCAAAGUCAGAAUAUUGCUAAACUAAUUCUUUGUGUAAGCUGUGCAGAGAAAAACAUGAAGUUGAUGAGCUGUGUACGUGAAGAUGAAAGGAAGCCAAGGGAAUAUACUGUGUUCGGCGGUGACCUUGGAAAGUGCAUGUUGCUCCUACAUAGACUUUCCUGAAAAGUCGCUAUUCAAUUUUUCUUUUGUUAGAGAAAAUAUCAUAGUGGGCACCCCUGCAGAAGCAUCAUUGCAAUGUUUUGUGCAGUUUGACCAUGACUAUUCUUGUCAUGCAAUUAUGCGGUGAACAAAAUUAUGUAUCUACUUCGCCUUGAAUUGAAUAAUUUACCGUGGUUCAAUCUUUUGACUCAAAUAUGCGCAAGGAGUUCAAUAAUUACCGUGGUUGCAUUUUGGUGAUGAUAUAUUUUUCCUCCAUAGCAAUGCAUGUGCAUUUAACUAUAUACAAAUGUCUAUUUCAACUAAUACAUGUAUUGCACAUUUUUUAUAUUGUAACAAUAGUGGGUAAAGAGCUCUUGGUUGAUUCAUCUUUGGGAGCAUGACCUAAAUAUAUCACCGUGCAUACAUGACUAUUGUUCUCCUGAUGCAACGCACGG